rnacentral:rRNA from 1 species
CCUACGGGUGGCAGCAGUGGGGAAUAUUGCGCAAUGGGCGAAAGCCUGACGCAGCGACGCCGCGUGAGGGAUGAAGGUCUUCUGAUCGUAAACCUCUGUCAGCAGGGAAGAACGGUCACUGUGCUAAUCAGCAGUGCAUUGACGGUACCUGCAAAGGAAGCACCGGCUAACUCCGUGCCAGCAGCCGCGGUAAUACGGAGGGGGCGAGCGUUAAUCGGAAUUACUGGGCGUAAAGGGCUCGUAGGCGGUAUGUCAAGGCAAGGGUGAAAUCCCCGCGCUCAACGUGGGAACUGCCUUUGAAACUGGCAAACUGGAGUGGGUGAGAGGAUAGUGGAAUUCCAGGUGUAGGAGUGAAAUCCGUAGAUAUCUGGAGGAACAUCAGUGGCGAAGGCGACUAUCUGGCACAUAACUGACGCUGAGGAGCGAAAGCGUGGGUAGCAAACAGGAUUAGAUACCCGUGUAGUC